AGAGUUUGAUCCUGGCUACAGAACGAACGCUGGCGGCAUGCCUAACACAUGCAAGUCGAACGAUGCUUUCGGGCAUAGUGGCGCACGGGUGCGUAACGCGUGGGAAUCUGCCCCUUGGUUCGGAAUAACAGUUAGAAAUGACUGCUAAUACCGGAUGACGACGUAAGUCCAAAGAUUUAUCGCCGAGGGAUGAGCCCGCGUAGGAUUAGCUAGUUGGUGUGGUAAAGGCGCACCAAGGCGACGAUCCUUAGCUGGUCUGAGAGGAUGAUCAGCCACACUGGGACUGAGACACGGCCCAGACUCCUACGGGAGGCAGCAGUGGGGAAUAUUGGACAAUGGGCGCAAGCCUGAUCCAGCAAUGCCGCGUGAGUGAUGAAGGCCUUAGGGUUGUAAAGCUCUUUUACCCGUGAUGAUAAUGACAGUAGCGGGAGAAUAAGCCCCGGCUAACUCCGUG
rnacentral:rRNA from 1 species